rnacentral:rRNA from 2 species
CAGUAGGGAAUCUUCCACAAUGGACGAAAGUCUGAUGGAGCAACGCCGCGUGAGUGAUGAAGGUUUUCGGAUCGUAAAGCUCUGUUGUUAGGGAAGAACAAGUGCGAGAGUAACUGCUCGCACCUUGACGGUACCUAACCAGAAAGCCACGGCUAACUACGUGCCAGCAGCCGCGGUAAUACGUAGGUGGCAAGCGUUGUCCGGAAUUAUUGGGCGUAAAGCGCGCGCAGGUGGUUUCUUAAGUCUGAUGUGAAAGCCCACGGCUCAACCGUGGAGGGUCAUUGGAAACUGGGGAACUUGAGUGCAGAAGAGGAAAGUGGAAUUCCAAGUGUAGCGGUGAAAUGCGUAGAGAUUUGGAGGAACACCAGUGGCGAAGGCGACUUUCUGGUCUGUAACUGACACUGAGGCGCGAAAGCGUGGGGAGCAAACAGGAUUAGAUACCCUGGUAGUCCACGCCGUAAACGAUGAGUGCUAAGUGUUAGAGGGUUUCCGCCCUUUAGUGCUGCAGCUAACGCAUU